UUUCGUUCUUCUCAUUCCACUAAUUUUGUUCCUCUCUAUCCUCUCUCUCUCUCUCCUCCAUUCUUGCAAAUUCUACUCUCUCUCCUAGAGUAAUAAGACAUUCACAAAUUGAAAGUUAGCAAAAAUUCACAACUUUUAAAAUCAAAAUAUUAAAAAGAAAAAUCAAUCUAAACCCAUUACAAUUUUUUCAUACAUUUGUAAGACUAAGAAAAUUGAAAAUCAAAGAAAUUCACAGCUAAACAACACUUCAAUCAAACUCAACAUAAUCCACAAACAUAUAAUAAUCCAACCACAAAUCGAAUGUGGAUUAUGAGCAAAGCAUGCAAGACGAAUGGGUAUUUUUAAAGAACAAGAGACAUAGAUUUGCCUUAGCCUUAGCUAAAUCAUAAGAGGAGAAAGCUAAAUUAUACUUUAUCUUAUCCAUUCUUUUAAAUAAAAAAAAAAAUUCAAAUAGGCACCAUAAGCAUGCCUUAACAUCAAACCUCUUCAUUACAAAUGGAUAUGAGAAAUUGACAAAAAUGGUUCAAUGCAAAGAAGAGGAGAUGGCAUGGAGCUGCCAGGUUUAGGAGAUAAGGUUCUUCUCGCCAAUUAUGUUGUUGUUGAGGAUUAAGGGAGGGACUAUUGGGUUUGAGAGAUGGGGAUCCUCUCACUAAUUCCAAUGUUGGGAUGAGUGGAGGGACUACCGAGCUAGGUUCACAAUCAAGAAACGAUGGUAGGUUACAAGAGUAGAAACACGGGCGAAUGUUCACUGUGGGAACUAGAGGAUGUUGGGUUCAAGAUGGGGGAUGCUUUGGCUGGAUGAAGAAAGGGUGAGGGGUGCAUAAUUCUUGAUAAGGAGGGGGGACGUGUGUCACAGCGGAAUUGGUUCACUAUCCAAAACACCUCCUCUCAACCGUGCGGCACUAGUGUCCAACAAAAGUCAGCCU
rnacentral:misc_RNA from 1 species